rnacentral:rRNA from 1 species
AACGUGCCCUUCAGUUCAGAAUAGCCACUGGAAACGGUGAGUAAUACUGGAUACGCCCUUAGGGGGAAAGAUUUAUCGCUGAAGGAUCGGCCCGCGUUGGAUUAGCUUGUGGGUGGGGUAAUGGCCUACCAAGGCGACGAUCUAUAGCUGGUUUGAGAGGAUGAUCAGCCACACUGGGACUGAGACACGGCCCAGACUCCUACGGGAGGCAGCAGUGGGGAAUAUUGGACAAUGGGGGCAACCCUGAUCCAGCCAUGCCGCGUGAGUGAAGAAGGCCCUAGGGUUGUAAAGCUCUUUCAGGUGUGAGGAUGAUGACAGUAGCACCAGAAGAAGCCCCGGCUAACUUCGUGCCAGCAGCCGCGGUAAUACGAAGGGGGCUAGCGU